CCUACGGGAGGCAGCAGUGAGGAAUAUUGGUCAAUGGGCGGGAGCCUGAACCAGCCAAGCCGCGUGAGGGAAGAAGGUACAGCGUAUCGUAAACCUCUUUUGUCAGGGAACAAAGGCGGGGACUAGUCCCCGGAUGAGGGUACCUGAAGAAAAAGCAUCGGCUAACUCCGUGCCAGCAGCCGCGGUAAUACGGAGGAUGCGAGCGUUAUCCGGAUUUAUUGGGUUAAAGGGGUGCGCAGGGGGCCUGUUAAGUCAGCGGGAAAAGCCCGGGGCUCAACCCCGGCGGGCCGUUGAAACUGGCGGGCUGGAGUUGGAGAGAAGUACGCGGAAUGCGCGGUGUAGCGGUGAAAUGCUUAGAUAUCGCGCAGAACCCCGAUUGCGAAGGCAGCGUACCGGCUCCACACUGACGCUGAGGCACGAAGGCGUGGGUAUCGAACAGGAUUAGAUACCCUAGUAGUC
rnacentral:rRNA from 1 species